AUUGAACGCUGGCGGCAUGCCUUACACAUGCAAGUCGAACGGCAGCGGACCUUCGGGUGCCAGCGAGUGGCGAACGGGUGAGUAAUAUAUCGGAACGUACCUUUCAGUGGGGGAUAACGUAGCGAAAGUUACGCUAAUACCGCAUAUUCUGUGAGCAGGAAAGCAGGGGAUCGCAAGACCUUGCGCUGAUUGAGCGGCCGAUAUCAGAUUAGCUAGUUGGUGAGGUAAAGGCUCACCAAGGCGACGAUCUGUAGCGGGUCUGAGAGGAUGAUCCGCCACACUGGAACUGAGACACGGUCCAGACUCCUACGGGAGGCAGCAGUGGGGAAUUUUGGACAAUGGGCGCAAGCCUGAUCCAGCCAUGCCGCGUGAGUGAAGAAGGCC
rnacentral:rRNA from 1 species